rnacentral:rRNA from 1 species
GACAGAGGGGCCGAGCGUUAGGCGGAAUCACUGGGCUUAAAGCGUGUGUAGGCGGGCGGGCAAGUACCUUGUGAAAUCCCACGGCUCAACCGUGGAACUGCUGGGUAUACUGCCUGUCUUGAGCCAGCCAGGGGCAGUCGGAACAGACGGUGGAGCGGUGAAAUGCGUAGAUAUCGUCUGGAACGCCAAAGGUGAAAACAGACUGCUGGGGCUGUGCUGACGCUGAGACACGAAAGCCAGGGGAGCGAACGGG